rnacentral:tRNA from 1 species
UUAAUUUAGUUAAGUGGAUAACGCUAUGGCGUUUAAAGCAAACGGUACUGGGUUCGAGUCCCAGAGUGAACA